rnacentral:misc_RNA from 1 species
UUCUGUGACCACAAUUAUAAUAACAUAGAUAUGUGAAGCUAUGGUGUGUCCCAAAACUAAUGGCAAAAGAAUAUCCCCAUUGCAGCGCGCGCUGCAGAACCUAAUCAUUGAUUGGUAGAUAUGGCUGCAAGCUUCAGUUUGAUGGCUUCAAAUUCCACAUUCUGCGUCUCCUCGUUUGUCAACCACAGUGACAAACAUUGUCUCAUAAAAUCACCAGGACAGCUUGCUGGAGAAAUGCCCCUGCAGACUUUAGGCUUUCCAAAACUCAUAAUAAGUUGAAAGUUCGUUUCAGACGGAUAUUUUAUGUAGUUCUCCAGAAUUUCACUAAUUGCUCUGCCCCAGAUAGGGCGGGCCACUUUUAGAAAUUCAUGCACGGCUAACAUUGGAAGGCUCACACUUCCGAUCUCAGACUCCUGCUUCCCUCCUCUUCCAUGGAAAUCUGAACCUCCAAGCUUCAGCAGACCAUAAGAAUCUGCUAGGUCACUGUAUGCUGCUAAUUUUCCAUCACUCCUGUAGGCCUCUAUACCAUGUAGCCCGA